rnacentral:lncRNA from 1 species
GUUAUAACAUAAUACUAAUAAAAUAAUUAAUGAUAAAUAGGUCCCUACAUUGAUAUGAUAUCAGCAUGAUGUCAUCCACUAGUGGGGAGGUGAGGGUGCCACGUGACAUCCCUAUGGCCACUUAGGAUCCAUGUAGCAUCCCCAUAGGAUGUCUUUGUUUGGUAUUUACGUUAAACAAAUUUGAAAAUCACAUUUUUUAUUGUUUAAAAAAUCUAAAAAAUUCUAAAAAUUUAUCAAAAAUCUUUAAAUGAUUUCUCAACAUUAUUACAUAAUUUCUCAUCAAUAUAAAAUCUUUUCUCGUCAAGUUUAGAUUAAUUUGGGCUAAAGGUAAAUGGAUCUCUAGACUUAUAACACUAGUCGGAAUCUUCCAUUGGGCUAAUCCGAAUGACGUUCUACCGGUAUCUCAAGCCAAUCCAAUGGACCUAUGCUCUACAGUCUAUGACAGAGAUACAUAAUUGGUCACAUCAAAGUCGUU